rnacentral:misc_RNA from 1 species
GGCGAAGCCGCUCAUUGCGAAUGACAGUUUCCUCGAGGCCGGCUCCUCGUCCGUGUACAUGCAUUACAGACACUCCCUCAACUCGCUUAGCGACAUCUUAGACAGGGACGACAGGGAAUCCCUCGCAGAACUGCACGACUAUCUGACAGGGAACGGGGAGAUCUACUCUACUGGCGAUCAGUACGACUACCAGUUCGACGGUUCCCCCAACAGUAGUGGUGUGCCCGCCCCGGGCUCGCCCAUGUUCGCAGACGACGCCUCCAUCGCGUUCGCGUCCCCG